rnacentral:rRNA from 1 species
UACGUAGGUGGCAAGCGUUGUCCGGAUUUAUUGGGUUUAAAGGGUGCGUAGGCGGCGCGGUAAGUCGGGUGUGAAAUCUUGGAGCUUAACUCCGAAACUGCAUUCGAUACUGCCGUGCUUGAGGACUGGAGAGGAGACUGGAAUUUACGGUGUAGCGGUGGAAUGCGUAGAUAUCGUAAGGAAGACCAGUGGCGAAGGCGGGUCUCUGGACAGUUCCUGACGCUGAGGCACGAAGGCCAGGGGAGCAAACGGG